rnacentral:lncRNA from 1 species
CUGGACCGAAUAGAACCGAUGCCUCUCUAUGGCAAACCAAUAUAAUACCUCUGCUAAUAAAAGUAGGAGGCAACAGCCUCGACACGAGAGAUAAGGGCAUAAUAUCUGGUCUGGCCUCCCCUUCGAGGGCGACCUCUACCUCCCUAGCCUCUACCUAUAGUUGGCUAGGCAUGUGGGGUGGAAACUUGAGCUGUAACCAUAGCCUGGGAACUCUGUGGUGCACGCUAUGGCUGAGAAGUUUGUGAAGAUGC